AUACAGAGGGUGCAAGCGUUAAUCGGAUUUACUGGGCGUAAAGCGCGCGUAGGUGGCUAAUUAAGUCAAAUGUGAAAUCCCCGAGCUUAACUUGGGAAUUGCAUUCGAUACUGGUUAGCUAGAGUAUGGGAGAGGAUGGUAGAAUUCCAGGUGUAGCGGUGAAAUGCGUAGAGAUCUGGAGGAAUACCGAUGGCGAAGGCAGCCAUCUGGCCUAAUACUGACACUGAGGUGCGAAAGCAUGGGGAGCAAACAGGAGUAGAUACCCUGGUAGUCCAUGCCGUAAACGAUGUCUACUAGCCGUUGGGGCCCUUGAGGCUUUAGUGGCGCAGCUAACGCGAUAAGUAGACCGCCUGGGGAGUACGGUCGCAAGACUAAAACUCAAAUGAAUUGACGGGG
rnacentral:rRNA from 1 species